rnacentral:misc_RNA from 1 species
AAGUCGUAACAAGGUUUCCGUAGGUGAACCUGCGGAAGGAUCAUUAUAGUAUAUGGAAUCUCCAUUCUAUAAACACCAUCUGCGUACCUUAUACCUGUUGCUUCCAUGGGCCUUGAGCCUAGCGCUCGCAUCGGCCCUAUGGCUGGUGAGCGCCCAUGGAAGGAAAACAUAAACCCUCUUUUUUGUGAAUUAAAGUCUGAACUUGUUUAUUUUAAACGUUAAAACUUUCAACAACGGAUCUCUUGGUUCUC